AACCUAGCACACCUGCGGUGUGUACCUGCGGAGGGAUCAUUACCGAGUUUACAACUCCCAAACCCCUGUGAACAUACCUAUACGUUGCCUCGGCGGAUCAGCCCGCGCCCCGUAAAAAGGGACGGCCCGCCCGAGGACCCCUAAACUCUGUUUUUAGUGGAACUUCUGAGUAAAACAAACAAAUAAAUCAAAACUUUUAGCAACGGAUCU
rnacentral:misc_RNA from 1 species